AACGAACGCUGGCGGCAUGCCUAACACAUGCAAGUCGAACGCACCGCAAGGUGAGUGGCAGACGGGUGAGUAACACGUGGGGAUCUGCCCAAUGGUACGGAAUAGCUCCGGGAAACUGGAAUUAAUACCGUAUGUGCCCUUCGGGGGAAAGAUUUAUCGCCAUUGGAUGAACCCGCGUCGGAUUAGCUAGUUGGUGUGGUAAAGGCGCACCAAGGCGACGAUCCGUAGCUGGUCUGAGAGGAUGAUCAGCCACACUGGGACGGAGACACGGCCCAGACUCCUACGGGAGGCAGCAGUGGGGAAUAUUGGACAAUGGGCGCAAGCCUGAUCCAGCCAUGCCGCGUGAGUGAUGAAGGCCUUAGGGUUGUAAAGCUCUUUCGCCGACGAAGAUAUUGACGGUAGUCGGAGAAGAAGCCCCGGCUAACUUCGUGCCAGCCGCCGCCGUAAAAC
rnacentral:rRNA from 1 species